CUAGCAUAAACAUUCUCCGCUAUGUCACCAUCUUUUACAAGACAUUCUCCAUCCGCUCAUAUACAUUGCUGCUAAGACUUCGUCAAGUCGUCUUGUUUAUGUGGAUCGAACGGGUCCAUUGUCUCUUAUAAGCACGGCUAGCUUAAACUGAAUUUGCUUUGGAGCUGCACUUGAACUUAAAAAUGCCGCUGCCUGGCAAAAGUCUGGAACGAAGGAUAGAGUAAUGUGCAAGAUGCAUGGAGAUACGAGUUUUCGAGUAUGCGAGUUGAGCCGGAAAUUCAGAAGGACAGAGGAAGGAGCUUUUGCGUUGAACGCAUCAACUCACGUUGCCUCUUCCCAGACAACUUUAAUCAGGGUUUAAAACAACGGAACCGCUAAGGCUCAGGCGACUGAGAACAAAUAUUUCUCAGUCGACCUGCUGAUGGUUGGACUGCGUGCUAAGAUUGUGUGUGCGUUUUUUGUUUCCUUGACAUUUCCUGUCCACGAAACAGCUAACAGGGCCAUAGCAGGUUGGCAUUUUUCUUGGGCCAGGGGUGUGCGCAGGGGUUAUGAGAUGGCGUGUCUUCUGAUUUUUGGUGGGCCAGUGGGUGUGUACAUGUUGGGCUUGAGAAUGCCGGUGGAAUUUUCUUUUAAGAAUUUUGCAGGGUCAUGCGUGUAUUUUUUUGCCAAGUUGUUUUUUUUUCAUAUAGUAUCAUUUCAGUCCUUAGUGUUCAUAAGCAACAGGUUAGAAUAGUAUGCAGUUUUAAAAAUUGCAUACAAAUUUCACGUGCAAUUUUAAAACCGCGCCUAAAAUUUCAUGUGCAAUUUUUAAUACGGCCCUAAAUUUUCACAUGGAAUUUUUAAAACCGCGUCUUAAAUUUCACUUGCAAUUUUUAAUAUGGUCCUAAAAUUUCACGUGCAAUUUUUAAAAUCCGCAUAUAAUUUCACUAAUUUGAUCGUUAUUCGUUUUGUUGCCUUUUGCCUUUCUCACUUUUAAAAUAAAUUUUUAUGGUGGUUUGAUGUGGAUUAUUUUAUCCCUAAAAUAAAUUACGGGUGUAACCAGUUGCAACUAUAGUGUUUAUCUUUCAUAGGAGGCAUGACUAAACUUAAAAUAUUUUUAGAGUUCCAUGCACAUUUUUUGUGUAACUUAUAUGAGGUUAUUGAAAUAUUUUUAAGCUUUACCUACUUGCACAUUCUGGAACACUUUUGUGUGUGAGCAAUAUGAGUUGAGGGAAUCUGCAUCAGUUCUAGAAUAUUUUUCCAUUUUUUUGUUCUUAUAAUAGUAGAAAAAAAGGUGCUUAAACACCUUGAGUACACUCAUGAGGUCGUUGUUUUUUUUUCUCCCGUAUUGUUUAUCUGUGCAUUUGAUUGUAGGCUUGUUUGCAUUUCUAUAGGCCCAAUAAAACAACUACCUAACUUGGGCUGUGGUUUUAUUGAUCUUUUUGGCCAUUGGACUAGAUAUGGACUUAGCAUUGUCCGCUUAUCCUUGACAGUUCGUUUAUCGGGCUUUGUCGUUUAUCAUCGAUGACAAAUGAAAUUAAGUUACCGAGACCUCCACUGACCAUGGUCGACUGAGAAAUUAGUUUUCUCAAUCGACUGAUCCCUAGUGACUCCCAACAAACAACACUUGCCCUUGCCAGUAGUGCCACUUGAUUAAUUAGGCAGUCCAUGCGGAUUAAUUACAA
rnacentral:lncRNA from 1 species